rnacentral:rRNA from 1 species
UACGUAGGGACCAAGCGUUGUUCGGAUUUACUGGGCGUAAAGGGCGCGUAGGCGGCUUGACAAGUCACUUGUGAAAUCUCCGGGCUUAACUCGGAACGGCCAAGUGAAACUGUCAUGCUAGAGUGCAGAAGGGGCAAUCGGAAUUCUUGGUGUAGCGGUGAAAUGCGUAGAUAUCAAGAGGAACACCUGAGGUGAAGACGGGUUGCUGGGCUGACACUGACGCUGAGGAGCGAAAGCGUGGGGAGCGAACAGG